rnacentral:rRNA from 1 species
GACGAACGCUGGCGGCGUGCUUAACACAUGCAAGUCGAACGGAAAGGCCCUGCUUUUGUGGGGUGCUCGAGUGGCGAACGGGUGAGUAACACGUGAGUAACCUGCCCUUGACUUUGGGAUAACUUCAGGAAACUGGGGCUAAUACCGGAUAGGAGCUCCUGCUGCAUGGUGGGGGUUGGAAAGUUUCGGCGGUUGGGGAUGGACUCGCGGCUUAUCAGCUUGUUGGUGGGGUAGUGGCUUACCAAGGCUUUGACGGGUAGCCGGCCUGAGAGGGUGACCGGCCGCAGUGGGACUGAGAUAGGGCCCGGAGGCCUACGGGAGGCAGGAGUGGGGAAUAUUGCACAAUGGGCGGAAGCCGGAUGCAGCAACGCCGCGUGCGGGAUGACGGCCUUCGGGUUGUAAACCGCUUUCGCCUGUGACGAAGCGUGAGGGACGGUAAUGGGUAAAGAAGCACCGGCUAACUACGU